rnacentral:rRNA from 1 species
AUUGAACGCUGGCGGCAUGCCUUACACAUGCAAGUCGAACGGUAACAGGUCUUCGGAUGCUGACGAGUGGCGAACGGGUGAGUAAUACAUCGGAACGUGCCCGAGAGUGGGGGAUAACGAAGCGAAAGCUUUGCUAAUACCGCAUACGAUCUCAGGAUGAAAGCAGGGGACCGCAAGGCCUUGCGCUCACGGAGCGGCCGAUGGCAGAUUAGGUAGUUGGUGGGAUAAAAGCUUACCAAGCCGACGAUCUGUAGCUGGGAUGAGAGGACGACCAGCCACACUGAGACUGAGACACGGCCCAGACUCCUACGGGAGGCAGCAGUGGGGAAUGUUGGACGAUGGGCGCAAGCCUGAUCCAGCCAUGCCGCGUGCAGGAUGAAGGCCUUCGGGUUGUAAACUGCUUUUGUACGGAACGAAAAGACUCCUUCUAAUAAAGGGGGUCCAUGACGGUACCGUAAGAAUAAGCACCGGCUAACUACGUGCCAGCCGCCGCAGUAACAC